GACGAACGCUGGCGGCGUGCUUAACACAUGCAAGUCGAACGAAGUGGCGAACGGGUGAGUAACGCGUAAUCAACCUGCCCUUCAGAGGGGGAUAACAGUUGGAAACGACUGCUAAUACCGCAUAAUGAAGGAGGGGAUUGCGUCUGAUUAGCUAGUUGGAGGGGUAACGGCCCAACAAGGCGAGGAUCAGUAACAGGUCUGAGCGGAUGAACGGCAACAUUGGGACUUGGACACGGCCCAGACUCUGACGGGAGGCAGCAGUGGGGAAUUUUCCGCAAUGGACGAAAGUCUGACGGAGCAACGCCGCGGGAGUGAUGACGGCCUUCGGGUUGUAAAGCUCUGUUAAUCGGGACGCGGUACCGGAAUAGAAAGCCACGGCUAACUACGUGCCAGCAGCCGCGGUAAUAC
rnacentral:rRNA from 1 species